rfam:Cavia porcellus supercont2_4 genomic scaffold, whole genome shotgun sequence.
GGGGAUUUAGCUCAGUGGUGUAAGUGUCUGCCUGACAAGCAUGAGGUCAUGAGUUCGAUCCCCAUACCA